AGGAAGGCCUUGGCCGGCAGGCCUACACAUGCAGUCGAGCGCGCCCUUCGGGGUGAGCGGCGGACGGGUUAGUAACGCGUGGGAACGUGCCCUUCGGUACGGAAUAGCCUCUGGAAACGGAGAGUAAUACCGUAUGAGCCCUUCGGGGGAAAGAUUUAUCGCCAAAGGAUCGGCCCGCGUUAGAUUAGGUAGUUGGUGGGGUAAUGGCCUACCAAGCCUACGAUCUAUAGCUGGUUUUAGAGGAUGAUCAGCAACACUGGGACUGAGACACGGCCCAGACUCCUACGGGAGGCAGCAGUGGGGAAUCUUGGACAAUGGGGGCAACCCUGAUCCAGCCAUGCCGCGUGAGUGAUGAAGGCCUUAGGGUCGUAAAGCUCUUUCGCCUGUGAAGAUAAUGACGGUAGCAGGUAAAGAAACCCCGGCUAACUCCGUGCCAGCAGCCGCGGUAAUACGGAGGGGGUUAGCGUUGUUCGGAAUUACUGGGCGUAAAGCGCACGUAGGCGGACCAAAAAGUUGGGGGUGAAAUCCCGGGGCUCAACCCCGGAACUGCCUCCAAAACUGUUGGUCUAGAGUUCGAGAGAGGUGAGUGGAAUUCCGAGUGUAGAGGUGAAAUUCGUAGAUAUUCGGAGGAACACCAGUGGCGAAGGCGGCUCACUGGCUCGAUACUGACGCUGAGGUGCGAAAGUGUGGGGAGCAAACAGGAUUAGAUACCCUGGUAGUCCACACCGUAAACGAUGAAUGCCAGUCGUCGGGUAGCAUGCUACUCGGUGACACACCUAACGGAUUAAGCAUUCCGCCUGGGGAGUAUGGUCGCAAGAUUACAACUCAAAUGAAUUGACG
rnacentral:rRNA from 1 species